GGUGCGGUGCGGUGCAGGGCGAGCGGCCGCAGCGCCCUCCCCCCCCGGAGCGGCACAGCGCACUGCGCGCCCCCCGCACGGCACGGUCCGGCGCGGCACGGAGGGAGGUUAUCGGGCGCGGGGGGAGGACUGAGGCUGGCAAGGUGAGAGCUCGGAUUGCCGGAGUGCCGGGAGGAAGCUGCCAUUUGUGAGCUGUGAGUGACGAGCGUGUAAUUUCAGCACCACUAAUGGACACUUAUUUUUCAUCAACUGGAGGAAAGAUGGGAAGGCGGAAGGAAACAAAUGAUCAUUACGGGUUAACCAACACAGAAGACAGAAGGAGUAUCAGCAGGGAUGACAUGGAACUAAUGCCACACAGAGAAGCAACCAGUGUGCCCAAAACAUCUUGGCAAAACUGAUGUAUUCCCAGGCUGUGGGGAGAUUACAGUACAAGUUCCUAUGAGAAUAUAUUGCAGACUGUGUGCUAGGAAAGCACCUCCAUUGGGGAAAAUUUGCCUGUGGAACGAGAAAUACAUAAGCAGAAACUGGGAACUGAAGAAAUGUUGUUAAGAUUGCCAGUCAGAAACAAUGUUCAACAUGGAGAGAGCAGGAAGAAGCUUAUACAGAAAAAGAGAGGCAAGUUUUAAAUGUUUUCAAUUAUUUGCCUCAGUCCAUAUUCACAAUUCAUUACACUCCUGCAAAGCUGCUUUUCAGGUUCUUUAGGUAGCUGGAGAAAUUUAUGCUCUGGCUCUUGAACUGUAUUAACACUGACACUGGGCUAUACCUGGUUGAAAUAGUGGCUGUGAUCCAGAAGCAAAAAGUUUUCCAUACAGAAUGCUUGUAGAGUCUUAGGCAAGAGGAGAGAAAACAACAGUAUACAUCAAUACCAGCCUGGGUAAGUUGACGCUUAUAUGGGAUUCUCCAGUUAUUGUCCAAUUAGUGCUGAAUAUGCGAUAGACACACGGCAUCUAGAACUGUCCAUACACAUAGCUGAACAUCCUAUGCACUUGGGUACAGAACUAUACUCUGGUCCAAAACUUAUAGUUCUCUACAUUGUAUAGAAAAGUCAAGAAUAAGUGCAUUAAAGAAUCCAAAUUAGAAAAAUGUUGCUGUAUCUAUUUUCCUGUGCUCUAGUUUCUGAAUUUGUAAAAUAUUUAAUAGUCAGUGUUUUUAUGUCAUGUCCUUAUUUACUGUAUCUGAGUUACAGUUCUUGAGAUUAAGGGUACUAUAGAAAACAUUUAUUUAUGCAGGUUCCCAAAUCAGGCCCUGAGACACAUAGACUGCAUUUUUUUCUUUUUUUCUUUUUUUUCUUUUCUUUUUUUUUUUUUUUUCUCCAGAGAGUGUUAAAACAGUACGUAACAAAAAGGAAAGUUGAAAUUUUGGAGCAUCCUUGAACCAUUCUUCUGUCUUACAUAGCCUUUGGAGCAAAACACGUUUCCUCAGAUUUGUUAGGUUUCUUUCCUGUAGAACCUAUAUGCCAUUACAGAUGGAGUAACAGGUUCUUUAAUCUCUUCAUAACAAAUACGCUGCUCUUUUUAGAAAGUUAAAAUUGUAAUAGUUUGAUCUUUUUAGAGGCAGACUGAAAUUACUAGGCUAACAAAUAUUUCAGUAGCAAAUAUCUAAGUUUAAAUUACUGAGAUUUUUACAUCUGGAAGUUACAAGAUCAAUCAUGAUAGUUGAACAUGAGAAUUUUUGUGAUAUGUUUCAAAUUCUACUGCACUAUCAAACACUAUCACUGAACAGAAACAACUCAUACAAUAUAAAGUACUGAUUGAAAAAUAGUGUUUCAAUUAUUUUUGUUAUACAAAAUGUAAAUAAUCGCUUUUACAUUAUUAAGUUUUCAACUUCCUUAAAUGUCUUUCACAGUUACUGUUAGAGCUGUGAGAAGUCAUUCUAAUUGAUACAAACAUUCAUCCUAUUUUACGUAAGAGAUUCUUAAUUUAAAUCAGCUUUUAAUUAUAAUUAGUGUUGAACUAAUACAAGUUACUAAAAAUCUGAGGUUCAGUGUCUUUUUUUUUGUUGAAGUUUGUAACAUCAUUGGUAAAUAUUCAAUUGUUUUUUCUUGUGCUAUUUACUAUUUUUUUUCUUUUUUUCCUUACCAAUCUCAAUCUUAUUGAUGAUUAUCUGUAGUUUUAAAAAUAUCAACAGAAGAUUGUGUCGCCAUUGACCAUGCAUAUAAUCUCUGUUCACAGGAAUUUAUUCCCAGAUGAUUUUGUGAGGGAAUCCAUAUGACUGUAUAGAUGAUUCCAUAUGAUUGUUUGCCAUACAUUGCUGUUAAAUGUUGAACUACAAAAUCCAGUCAGUUGUCUGAAUGAUUAGCAUUUUUUUUUCUAUAAUGAUGAAACAUGCACCACUACAUCAUUUGAAUUAACUUAUUGUUUUCCUAGCCUUUGUACUGUAUCAGCUCUUAGCAUUUACUCUUUUUUUCUGCUCUCACUCUUGCACUUGAUUUGUCUUAGUCUUGUCAUUGCUUAUCAAAAAAAAUUUUGCACAAGCAUUUUUAAUAAUGGCAGUGUUUGUGUCUGCAUUUAAAUGUCUAUUUAUUGUGUCUGCCAUCAUUGCAGCUGGAAGAUAAUCUCCAUUAAACAUCCCAUUUAAUAUUUUUCAAACUUUCUGAUACACGGUGGAGUGUAUUUAUUCAUGAAUAAUGCUUACUAAAUGAACAUAUCAGUAUAAGUCAUGCUGGGUACCAAAUCCUGCAUAUUAACUUACACAAUCAAGCUUAUAUUGCAAAUGAAGUAACUUUCCAAAAACACUUGGCAUUACUGGCAAGUCACCACAUACUCUAGAUGUUCUCAUAUGAAUUUUUCCAUAAAACAUUAAGUUGAAACUGACCUUGAAAAUGACUGUAUACUGAGAGAUCAAUUACUGUGAAUUUUAUAUUUCUUGGUAAUUAUGUGUUGCAUGGUAUAGGUUUUCUCUGCUGCCAUACAAAUACAGAGUAUGCACUUUCAAAUUAUAGUCCUCAUAAAUAACCCAGUGUCUGAAUUUACUGUAGUGAAAAAACUAGUCAUCUGAGCUAUGUAUGAUAAAGAAAAUAGUAAACAAGGAUGAUUAUUUUCAUUUACCUUUACAUCUGUAUUAGCAGACACCUAUAACAGAGCUAUUGGUGUAGACUUCUUUCAUUGUUAGUAGAGAAAAACCGAAGUCUAUAGCUGACCACAUCAAUUCCAUUGUCUACUGCCUAUUGAUCUCCACUGAAUAUAAAGAAAUAUUGAAAGUAUCGAGUUAAUAUACAGAUGUCUUAUAGAACUCCAGAGUUAGGUGAGAUGUCUCCUGACCACUUACUUAAGUGCUGUUGGUAUAAAUAUAUUAUGUUUCUAAAUUUUUUAUUGCUAUAUAUAUGUUUUAGCUAUUGCAAUGCAUUUGUCCUGUGCAAAUUGUUUAUCUGUUAUACUGUGUACUUUAUAAGGCUACAUGGCAGAACCUUCAUAUGUUUCCACCACACUGAUCAUUUUUUUUACCUCAGUGAUAUUAGUUCUUAAAAUAUAUUCAACUUUUCAUAGUUUACAUUAUUUUAGCUAGAACACAAGCUAUAAAAUUAAUAUUAUUUUCAAAAUAAAAUAUUCUUGGCAAUUCUGUGAAUACUAAAGAAUAUUAAUUUCAUGUACAUGUAAAUACAACUUCCUGAAAUCCAGAUGCAAUGAUGAUGCAAGCAAAUAGAUAUUUAAGAAAUGUGUAUUAAUAUAGAAUGAGUAGGAAUAUUUCAGAUAUAAUUUCUUUCCAAUAAAAAUUUCAUUAUUAUGAGGUGUUUAUUAAUUAUCAUCUACAAAAAAGAAAAUUCACCUUGAAAGCAUCAAAACAAAAUGAAAAACACAAUUUUUCUGAGGUUGUCUGGCACAUCAAUAGUGUAUUUAGUUUUUCAGCUGCUUGCUGUUAUCACUUCCUUUUUAAGACUUUUUUUUUCUUUUUUUAGAAUCACUUAUUUUUGUUGUUUUGUAGAUUCUUUUUCCUUGUUUCCAAACUUCUCAAAGUUUCACUGAGGUGUGCAAUCAGAGUGAACAAAAAGAUUCACUCAGUUCUGGCUCAGCUGGGACAGUAUCUGCAGCUGGCAUCAAAAAUGUUGAGUAAAACUUGAAAAAAGAUGUUACUUUGUAAAUAAUGAGUAAGCUCUCCAGUGGAACUAAAAUCUUUAAAACAAGGUGGAAAUUUUUACCAACCCUGUUCAAUUGCAAUGGACUUUUCAGUAACUUUAUAUUUGUGCCAAUAUCUCAAGCCAUUAAUCUUGACAACUGCUGAUAUUUAAAAGAAAAGCCUUCAAUUGGAAAUUAAUAUCAAAUUGUGUUAAAGAUGAAAGUGGCAAUAUCUGCACAAAAUUAACAGAAUUCUAACUAAAAAAUGUUUUCUCAAAAACACUUUAAAAAAAUCAAAACCAAAACAAGCAAACAACAACAACAACAAAAGACUUCCAGAUUUCCCUGUAGGAAAAAAAAAAUAGAUAUAUGUGUGACAUCUUUGAAUUUUACGGAGUAUUUAAUUAGAGAAACCUUUAUGUUACCAAGGAAUAUUUUUGUUUGUUUUGUUUUGUUUUUUAUAUAUUUGCAGAAGAAAAUAAAGAUAUGAUUUCAUAAGCACGUAUUUCAAUGUUGUUUGCUAGCUAUUAAUGAAAUACAAUCAGGUAAUCUGGUAAAUGAGUGCUCAAAGCAGAUGAAAUUAAACAUCAAAAACACAUACUGAUGAGGGAGAAGGAUUUUUACCUUUCCAUGUUGUAGUGCUUUAUAUCACCAAGCUACCUUGUCUUCCCGUCCAGAGUAAGGUAAAGAACCAGGUAAACACGUCAAUAGAAAGCAGAAAUUUCAAUUAUACUUAUAAAAAAAUCAGCGUUUUCUAUUAUUUUGGUCUCAAUAAAUCUGUUUUCUUGUUACAAUUUCAAAAUGACUGAUCAGAGAAAAAUUUAGCAAAAGUAUUAGGCCAUAUCUAAUCUCAAGUUAAUUUAACGAUCAACAAUGCAGUAAUUUUAUGGUAGAUUUAUGUUGGUACCAAAGGCAAUAUGGCCUCCAAAUGUAUGAUUGUAUAUAUGAAUCUAUAUUUACACGUACUUCAAAAUUGUGAUGAAAGUAUUGUGACUUGUUUAAUUAAAAGUUUAUUUCUAUUUUGA